CUUAAUUAUACUUUUUAAUUGGGAUCGGACGAGCGACUCACGUCUCGUCGUCUCGGCUCACUUUCCACCGGGCGCUUUUAAGAAGCUUUUUCGGGCUUUCUUCGUUUUCGUCCCCCAAGAGAUCGCUGUCUAAUCUCCGUUUGAUUGCGAGUAGCUCUCUGCGCUUUGGGUCCCCUGCUGCUCCGACGUUUAAAACGCUAUAGAAACAGAAACUAUAACCGCCUCAGCCAGUGGCGCUCAGCGGAACGAGUCAAUGAGAGAAGUCAUACGAAGUGUGGAAACA
rnacentral:lncRNA from 1 species